GCCUGGGUGGCUCAGUUGGUUGAGCGUCUGGCUUCAACUCAGGUCAUGAUCUCACAGUUUGUGGGUUCGAGCCCCGCACUGGGCU
rnacentral:tRNA from 1 species